rnacentral:tRNA from 1 species
CUCCCCUUGGUGUAGUUGGUUUCAUCACGUUCGACUGUAAUGGUUACGAAAGGUCUCUAGUUCGAUUCUGGAAGGGGAGA